CAGUCGCCACGGUAAAACGAAGGGGGCUAGCGUUGCUCGGAAUGACUGGGCGUAAAGGGCGCGUAGGCGGCGGCCAAAGUCAGGCGUGAAAUUCCUGGGCUCAACCUGGGGGCUGCGCUUGAUACUUGGUUGCUUGAGUGGGGAAGAGGGUCGUGGAAUUCCCAGUGUAGAGGUGAAAUUCGUAGAUAUUGGGAAGAACACCGGUGGCGAAGGCGGCGACCUGGUCCUUUACUGACGCUGAGGCGCGAAAGCGUGGGGAGCAAACAGGAUUAGAUACCCCAGUAGUCCCUGUCUCUUAUAC
rnacentral:rRNA from 1 species